CUUCACAGUCUAAUGGUCUGAAUGAAAGAGGGAUUCCUAGAAGAGAAAAUGUCCCUGUGUAGGAAGCCCUGGGGAGCACAACCAGGCCUGAUUUGGGGACAGGAAUUCAGAAGGAAGGGACUGCAAGCAGGGUGCUCCCCUUCCCUGCAGCCCACAGCACCAGCAACCCACAGGGAAGCGUGUCAUGUCCACUGAGAUGCCUCAAGAUUCUAUCACUGUUUGCAUUAGAAAUAAGUAGCUCAGUGUCCCAGUAAUUCUCACCAUCUGCCCCAAAGAGGGAGCAAGAACUCAUGGGAGGACAGUUUUUAAUAGUUUUCUUUCUUUCUUUUUUUUUUUAACAGUCAUUUUCUUAAGAAAAAAGAGGGGGAAAGAAAGACUGAACUUACACUUUUGUGUGUACUGGAAGAAAAAGGAAAAAACAAAACAAAACCAUGCACCUGACCCCUUGCUACCCUUCCUCAGGAUGGGAGGACCAUGUCUGGAGCCUCAUAAGCGGGGGCUUCAUAAGGCUCCCCUGCGUCCCUGCUUCCUGGAAUCUGCUAAAAGAAUAUGGCAAACCGGCCAAGAUAUUUGACUGAGAUCUGGAAGCUCCAGUGGUCAGGACGGGUCGUUCCUUGCACGGUACUUGCUCGAUGGUGCGUUCGUUCCUCCAGCCUAUCCACGUGCAUCUGUGCCUGCGGGACGCCUGGCGCUGGGCGAGCCUGUGGGCCCUGCAAGUUGAGUCUGACCCCACCCCCGAGCACAGAGAACUUUCCGGCCCCCGGGCAGCAUCCAUGGCACCAUGGGAAACCUGAGGAGGGCAGCACCACUUCCUGCGAGCCUCCUGAGCCACUGUGGGGAAGCCAGCUGGACCAGUUUGGAGAGAGAAACUUGCAGAGCUGGACGUGACCUCGGUGACGGUGACUCUCAGAGGCAAGCGUAGGUCGGAAUCACCUGGGCAGUAUGACAAGAGAUGGGGCAGCUGGGACCCGCCCCUGGAGGUUCCGGUGCCGUCUGGGGCUGCCUCUGUCCCUGCACAACACUUGCUGGCACCCUCAUUGCCUGUCCCAAGUGUUGUCCAACCCCCUCAGAUGCAAGGAGUUCGAAGCCCAGCGGGCGGAGCUGGUGUCCAGCCUGAGAGGGGCACCCCACGCCUCCCCACACCCUCCCCCCAUCUAAUGAGGGUCUCCCAACAGGAUGGACAUCAGUUUUCUUCCCCCCCUUUCUGCUCGCCUCAGCCCAUCUCCCAGAACCCGAUGAGAGCCUGCUGAGCUCAAAAGAUCCCCAAGAACCAAGACGGAAGCUGCAGCUUUCAGAGGAGCGGGUCCGAGGGGCACCACCAGCCGGCUGUCCUGUUGCCACCAGCCACCCUAGCUGGCCAGGCUGCGUCCCAGUCAGUCAGCAGCCCCGGG
rnacentral:lncRNA from 1 species